rnacentral:rRNA from 1 species
UACGUAGGGGGCUAGCGUUGUCCGGAUUUAUUGGGCGUAAAGAGCGUGUAGGCGGCCAGGUAGGUCUGCUGUGAAAACUCGAGGCUCAACCUCGAGACGUCGGCGGAAACCCUCCAGCUAGAGUCCGGAAGAGGAGAGUGGAAUUCCUGGUGUAGCGGUGAAAUGCGCAGAUAUCAGGAAGAACACCCGUGGCGAAGGCGGCUCUCUGGGACGGUACUGACGCUGAGACGCGAAAGCGUGGGGAGCGAACAGG